CUAAUAUAAUAAUUAUAUUUUGGGGCUUACGCUUUUGCUAAGUUUUUGGCAAGAGCUCCUCCUCAAAUUUGUGGUAUGCUCUCUAGGCUCUAUUGCACCAACGAUUUAUCAUUGGCAUUUUAAAAAAUUAUCAAUGCUGCGCCAAGUUAUGUUGGUCAUUAACUUAGGGCCAGUUGUUUAAUGUCCAAAUAACCAAUUUUACCCGAUUAGAUAAGCACUAAAACAUUGGCAAAUAUGCUUACAAAUAUGCUCGAGAAUUGGGAAAUGCCUCGCCAAAUAAACGUUUUAAAGGAAGUGCAGGAGCUGGGGGCGGCGGGCGAACUAUACUUCCAUAGGUUGGAAGAUAACUGAAGAUUUUUGUAGGUAUUAAUUUGAACUUGAAAACGCUGAUCAGACAAGGACAUUUUUAAAUUGCAAUGUAAUCAUAUAUGCAUACAUUAGAAUUUAGUUUAUAAGUUAUAAUAUUAACGUAAUUACAAAAAGUAAAUUGUUCAUCUAUAAAUGAAAUCCAUAAAUUAAGACAAAUAACCACAAUCAGUUGAAUAAAAAAAGAAAUAACAAAGUUUAGUAGGGCCAACACAAAGGCGUUUCAGACAGCUUUCACAUUAAACUUCCGGAGAUUUUCUGUAAACAUUAAAAAAAUAAUCCACUUUAUGUACGAAUGUAAUCGAAAAGUUCUAUAAAUAAACUAAAUUUUGAAAAAACAAAAAAUGCAGUUGCAAGAAAGAAACGUACAUAAUCAGGGCUACCACAGAAUCCAUCGUACUCCGAUUUUUCGCAAAAUCUACGAAAAUGAAAUUGAAUUCGAGUAGCUACGAGCGUAACGUACACUUUUAAUACAUACAUACGUUCGUAGCAAAUCGGAUUCUGUAAUAACAUUUACGCAGUUUUCACGAAAAAUAGGACUAGGAUAGAUUCUGUGAUAGCCACCAAAAGUUCCAAAAUUAUGUAUAAAUAAGGAUUACAUUUUUCAAAACUUCAAAAAUAAAAACAAAAUCCCUUGCCUUGAAUGGUCCGCGUGCACUUUUCCAAA